rnacentral:rRNA from 1 species
UACAGAGGUCCCAAGCGUUGUUCGGAUUCACUGGGCGUAAAGGGCGCGUAGGUGGCCAGGUAAGUUCGGUGUGAAAGCUCGGAGCUUAACUCCGAAAUGGCAUUGAAUACUAUCUGGCUAGAGGGUCGGAGGGGAGACUGGAAUUCUCGGUGUAGCAGUGAAAUGCGUAGAUAUCGAGAGGAACACCAGUGGCGAAGGCGAGUCUCUGGACGACUCCUGACACUGAGGCACGAAAGCCAGGGGAGCAAACAGG